rnacentral:rRNA from 1 species
GAUGAACGCUGGCGGCGUGCCUAAUACAUGCAAGUCGAGCGAACGGACGAGGAGCUUGCUUCUCUGACGUUAGCGGCGGACGGGUGAGUAACACGUGGAUAACCUACCUAUAAGACUGGGAUAACUUCGGGAAACCGGAGCUAAUACCGGAUAAUAUUUUGAACCGCAUGGUUCAAAAGUGAAAGACGGUCUUGCUGUCACUUAUAGAUGGAUCCGCGCUGCAUUAGCUAGUUGGUAAGGUAACGGCUUACCAAGGCGACGAUGCAUAGCCGACCUGAGAGGGUGAUCGGCCACACUGGAACUGAGACACGGUCCAGACUCCUACGGGAGGCAGCAGUAGGGAAUCUUCCGCAAUGGGCGAAAGCCUGACGGAGCAACGCCGCGUGAGUGAUGAAGGUCUUCGGAUCGUAAAACUCUGUUAUUAGGGAAGAACAUAUGUGUAAGUAACUGUGCACAUCUUGACGGUACCUAAUCAGAAAGCCACGGCUAACUACGUG